GGGCAAUGCCCGGGGUUCUGGGGUAAACCAUGAAAUCACACUGCAACAGAAGUUCUUAUGGCAAAUCUAAAUUAAGUUCCCCUUGGAAAUUACCAAGAAAUUCUUUAGUUAGGUAGGAUGACUAAAGAAAAGCGUGAGACAGCUUCCUCAACAUAGUCCUAGAAGAUCUAGAUUUCUGUGCCAUGGAGACUGCCUCACAGAACUGAGCUUUGCUGUGGGAUGGGACACUGGAAUAGGCUGCCUACAGAAAUGGUGGAAUCACCAUCCUUGGAAGUGUCCAAAAGAUGUGAACGUGGCUUGGUGGUGAAUAUGGCAGUGCUGGCAUAACAAUUCAACUCAAUAAUCUUUUCCAACCUAAACAAUUGUGUGGUUUAUGAUUUGGAGGAGGGCGUGUGGCACUCUGAAUGCAUGGCACAGACCAAGGUGCUGAUGGUGGGAAAGAUCCUCUGCUCCCAGCACCAUAAUAUUUUCUCUAUUCAGUCUUCUGUUGUAUUUUUGAUAAGAUUUUAAUAAACCUUUUAAAUUUUUUA